CUAUGUGUUGUUGGGUAGGGGAGCGUUCUGUAAGCCUGUGAAGGUGUGCUGUGAGGCAUGCUGGAGGUAUCAGAAGUGCGAAUGCUGACAUAAGUAACGAUAAAGCGGGUGAAAAGCCCGCUCGCCGGAAGACCAAGGGUUCCUGUCCAACGUUAAUCGGGGCAGGGUGAGUCGACCCCUAAGGCGAGGCCGAAAGGCGUAGUCGAUGGGAAACAGGUUAAUAUUCCUGUACUUGGUGUUACUGCGAAGGGGGGACGGAGAAGGCUAUGUUGGCCGGGCGACGGUUGUCCCGGUUUAAGCGUGUAGGCUGGUUUUCCAGGCAAAUCCGGAAAAUCAAGGCUGAGGCGUGAUGACGAGGCACUACGGUGCUGAAGCAACAAAUGCCCUGCUUCCAGGAAAAGCCUCUAAGCAUCAGGUAACAUCAAAUCGUACCCCAAACCGACACAGGUGGUCAGGUAGAGAAUACCAAGGCGCUUGAGAGAACUCGGGUGAAGGAACUAGGCAAAAUGGUGCCGUAACUUCGGGAGAAGGCACGCUGAUAUGUAGGUGAAGUCCCUCGCGGAUGGAGCUGAAAUCAGUCGAAGAUACCAGCUGGCUGCAACUGUUUAUUAAAAACACAGCACUGUGCAAACACGAAAGUGGACGUAUACGGUGUGACGCCUGCCCGGUGC
rnacentral:rRNA from 1 species